CACGCCGUAAACGAUGAUUACUGGGUGUAGGGAGUAUCGACUCUCUCUGUGCCGAAGCAAACGCGAUAAGUAAUCCACCUGGGGAGUACGGCCGCAAGGCUAAAACUCAAAGGAAUUGAC
rnacentral:rRNA from 1 species